UACAGAGGGGGCAAGCGUUGUUCGGAAUUACUGGGCGUAAAGGGCGCGUAGGCGGCCGCCUAAGUCAGACGUGAAAUCCCUCGGCUCAACCGGGGAACUGCGUCUGAUACUGGGUGGCUUGAAUUCGGGAGAGGGAUGCGGAAUUCCAGGUGUAGCGGUGAAAUGCGUAGAUAUCUGGAGGAACACCGGUGGCGAAGGCAGGUCUCUGGGCCACUACUGACGCUGAGAAGCGAAAGCAUGGGGAGCGAACAGG
rnacentral:rRNA from 1 species